GUUUGGAUAUAUGGUUUGAGUUUAGAGUCUAUGAUUUGGGUUUAGGAUAUAGGUUUGGGUUUAGGAUAUAGGUUUGGGUUUAGGGUUUACGGUUUGGAUUUGGGGUUUGGGUUUAGGAUAUAGGGUUUGGGUUUAUGGUUUACGGUUUGGUUUUAGGGUUUAGGAUUUGGAUUUAGGGUUUAGGGUUUAGUUAGUGGCGUUAGCAUCAUUAAAAUUAGCGUUAUUAUUUUUUCAAUUAUUUUAGAUUUUUUUAA
rnacentral:lncRNA from 1 species